rnacentral:rRNA from 1 species
GUGCCAGCAGCCGCGGUAAUACGGAGGAUCCAAGCGUUAUCCGGAAUCAUUGGGUUUAAAGGGUCCGUAGGUGGAUAAUUAAGUCAGAGGUGAAAUCCUGCAGCUCAACUGUAGAAUUGCCUUUGAUACUGGUUAUCUUGAAUUAUUAUGAAGUAGUUAGAAUAUGUAGUGUAGCGGUGAAAUGCAUAGAUAUUACAUAGAAUACCAAUUGCGAAGGCAGAUUACUAAUAAUGGAUUGACACUGAUGGACGAAAGCGUGGGGAGCGAACAGGAUUAGAUACCCUGGUAGUCC